rnacentral:rRNA from 1 species
GACGAACGCUGGCGGCGUGCUUAACACAUGCAAGUCGAACGGAAAGGCCCUGCUUUUGUGGGGUGCUCGAGUGGCGAACGGGUGAGUAACACGUGAGUAACCUGCCCUUGACUUUGGGAUAACUUCAGGAAACUGGGGCUAAUACCGGAUAGGAGCUCCUGCUGCAUGGUGGGGGUUGGAAAGUUUCGGCGGUUGGGGAUGGACUCGCGGCUUAUCAGCUUGUUGGUGGGGUAGUGGCUUACCAAGGCUUUGACGGGUAGCCGGCCUGAGAGGGUGACCGGCCACAUUGGGACUGAGAUGCGGCCCAGACUCCUACGGGAGGCAGCAGUGGGGAAUAUUGCACAAUGGGCGGAAGCCUGGUGCAGCAACGCCGCGUGCGGGAUGACGGCCUUCGGGUUGUAAACCGCUUUCGCCUGUGACGAAGCGUGAGUGACGGUAAUGGGUAAAGAAGCACCGGCUAACUACGUG